UGUAGAUAACAUACUGUCGAAAAAUAUGUAGAAACCCUUAAUAAUAUUCUCUUAACUUUCAUUCGCGAACUGUUUUACCCUGUAAUUUCUUCUCUUUCACACAGAGGAUGCAUCAUCGUCUUCCUUGCUUCUCUAUCAGAUUUAGGUUAAUAUCGUUUUGUUCCAGAAUCUUCCGCCACCACCGCUGAUGAAUAUCUCAUUGAAAUUGUCGUUGGCUUCAACAACAUUGACGCUGUAACUGAUGGUCGCGAAUGAAAGUUAAGAGAAUGAAAUGUUCCCCUUCAAGCAAGAGUUCUCAUUCGGUAAUGGUUGAAAGAUAUUCAAAGACUGAUCUACCUGAGAUGGAGAAGAAGAAGUAAGUUCUCUGAUUGUAUUUGAAUAAAUUACUGACAUGAUAUCAUCGAUUUCUUUUUUAGUUAGUUAGCCAAACCAUGGAAAUCAAAUCCAUAUACAUUCUGCAAGCUUAGACAUAAUUCAAUCUCUUUAAAUAUGCAUUCACCUGAUCAAUGAUCAUCAAUGUUAGGCUGGAAGGCAUAAGCUAAUACCCAUUUUAGUUAUUGGGUUGCUGCAAGUUCUUACUAUCAAACUUGAAAUCACUGUUUGUUAUUUGAGAGUUUGUUCUAUUCUGAUCUGAUGAUGUUUUCUCAAUCUGUGAUCGAAUUGAGAAAAGGUAUAUGUCUGUUGGAUUGUUUAUUCACAUUCUGCAAGUUCUUACUAUCAAACUUGAAAUCACUGUUUGUUACUUCAUACUUGAGAGUUCUAACCUCUUGCUUAUUUCUGUCAAAGUCGACCUCGUUCUCUUCAUUUUCUACUAGGAAAAUCUCUAUAAGCUUGAGGAAAUUCUCAAUUGUGACGGCGGUUGGUAAGGGGAAGAAGAAAUCCGAUUCUCAUAGCUUCGUCUCCAGACCAGAUGAAGCUGCCGGUUUUUUUCCGAAGCUCUUUUGCUCAAAGAGAAGAAAGUUCAUGAAGAUGGAACAAUUCUCCCUAAAUUCGCAGAUGAUGAUGAAAGAGAACUUUUUAAACAACUAAAUCUUUAGCUGGAAAGUGAUCUUGGACUGAAGAGCACUCUUGGAGAAGAUAGUAACAUUUCGUUUCUCACAUCGAAAAUAGUUAUUCUUUCCCCCUCGAAUGAAGACUCUUUAAGGUAGACUUUAUAAUUGCAUUUGCAUGUUCAAUUAGACAAACUCUACUUCGUUUUGUUCUUCUUGCUUCAUGUUGAUAAUGGUGGUUGUACAGAUUAGUGGACCAUGUUCUUUUACUUCUCAAGGACUUCGUUUUGUUCUUCUUGCUUCAUGUUGAUAAUGGUGGUUGUACAGAUUAGUGGACCAUGUUCUUUUACUUCUCAAGGACUGAAGUUUGUCUUUCCACUAUGUAGAACAAAUUAAUCUCAAGUUUUCAGUUUUGAAACUUAAUACAUGAUCUUGUCUGAUAACUAUGCUCAAAAUUGAGGUAAGUUGGGACAAGGAAAUAUUGUAGCUUCGAGUUUAGUUCUUUCGUCGUUGAUAUGUGCUUAAAGGAUCGAAGUAUUGAUGAGUCACGUUAUUUGAUAUAUAAGACUUAUUAUAAAAUAUGUUUUAGUUUUAAUGACUUUGAAUUUACAAUUUAAUUUGAAUGUAUUUAG